GUGGCAUCCACUAGGAAUAGGGCUCUCUGUGACAACUGCCAAGAUAAUACGUCUUACUUAUACAAGUGGUCCAUUAGAUCCAAUCAGGGAUAUUGUCUGGGGCAUGCAGACUAUAUAACCACUACACCUGUCUGCAGUGGUCAUGCUGCUAAGAAUCUCAUGAAGAACCACUGGUCAACAUGGUUACACCUAUGAAAGAGAAGGGUAGUAGACAAAACAUACAUGGAUUUCUUCCUUUUCGAGCCAUUAUCUUCUUCAGCCUGAACUUCAGCUCCUGGAGGAAUUAUUUUCCUGGAGCCAUGAUACUGGUGUAUUUUCA